rnacentral:siRNA from 1 species
AUGGGUCAAAUGAGUUGAUGAGUC